CUGUGACAACAUGCCACCAGCUCGAGAAAAUACCAUUCGAUCACCCAUCAAGCAAGUCUGAAAUUUACUCUGUUACAUAUGGGAGUAUUACUGGAAGUAAAUUACAGCUCCUACACUCAGGGAAUUGCACGCUGGCUCCAUUGUAUCUACGACAUUCUGAUGAACCCUCUACACCCUCUACAGCUUGGAACGCAGUAACCUGAAUGAGCUCUGACCAAUACCCUGUACAGCUGAGGCAAUGCAUUGAAUUUUGAUUUCCAGCAUCUGCAGAAUUUUUUGAUUGGUCGAGGACUGUUCUCACCUCUGCACAGUGUCAACAUGUUCCUUCCUCUGCUCUUCUGCGUGGAUUGUGAAUAACUUGGAAGAUGACACCUUUGAGAGUGGAGCACUCCUUCAGAAUUAUCACAGACAGACCUCUGCCCGUUGGAUAGGCUUCCAUCCCAUCAAACACACAGUUCUCUGAUGCACCAUAGAAAGCAUCCUCUUCAGAUGCAUCACGGCUUGGUACAGCAACUGCUCUGCCCAAGACUGCAAGAAACUGCAGAGAGUUGUGAACGCAGCCCAGUCCAUCACAAAACCAGCCUAUUGACUCGGUCUACACUUCC